rnacentral:tRNA from 1 species
GGUAUUAUACUUUAAUAUAAAAGAUUCGAUUUGCAUUUGAAAAAUAAAGGCAUCUUUUAAUACCA